GUUGGGUUUGGUGCGCUUAUGGAGGUCUGUAAAAGUCAAAUUAAAUUUAGUGCUUUCUGACUUGAAGCCUGUGAAAUCAACGUGCAGCUUUUGGGUUGAUAGAAUCGUAUACUGGCUAACUGCUUUCAUACCCCGAAGCUCUAUGGGUUUCGCCAAAAAAAAAAAUUUAUAACAUGCGGGCUUCAUAACGUCUAAGAGGAGAGAUAGAUGUUGGAAGCAAUCUGAACUUUAAAAAAUUUCUUUUUUAAAAACUUUUACUAAACAACUAAUGGUUGAAAACGUACACCUACGCAACAAGCUUUCAUUUAUAAGCUCUUGAAAAAUUCCUUCAAAAAUAGGAAAUAGCAAUGAUGACUUUCUUUACCGGAUUAAAA